UACGUAGGGUGCGAGCGUUGUCCGGAAUUAUUGGGCGUAAAGGGCUCGUAGGCGGUUUGUCGCGUCGGGAGUGAAAACCCAGGGCUUAACCCUGGGCUGGCUUCCGAUACGGGCAGACUAGAGGUAUGCAGGGGAGAACGGAAUUCCUGGUGUAGCGGUGAAAUGCGUAGAUAUCUGGAGGAACACCGGUGGCGAAGGCGGCAUCCUGGACCGACACUGACGCUGAGGCGCGAAAGCUAGGGGAGCAAACGGG
rnacentral:rRNA from 1 species